CAACCCUGUUCCUGGAGAGCUACCCUCCUGUAGGUUUUAACUCCAACCCUGUUCCUGGAGAGCUACCCUCCUGUAGGUUUUAACUCCAACCCUGUUCCUGGAGAGCUACCCUCCUGUAGGUUUUAACUCCAACCCUGUUCCUGGAGAGCUACCCUCCUGUAGGUUUUAACUCCAACCCUGUUCCUGGAGAGCUACCCUCCUGUAGGUUUUAACUCCAACC